rnacentral:tRNA from 2 species
CGCGGGAUGGAGCAGUCCGGUAGCUCGUCGGGCUCAUAACCCGAAGGUCGUUGGUUCAAAUCCAGCUCCCGCAACCA